GGGGACGACCAGGUUUCGACGGGGUCGAUCACACGUUGUGGUUGCGAGCCGAGGUUGCUGGAUGGCCUCGUAAAACUCCAGCAAAAACCAUAUAUGCGGACUCACAUGAGUACGCCCUUCCGACUUCUGCUCUCGCAGCUUAAGUAAGGAAAGGUUCCGCCCCCGGCCAGUCGGCCGUCGGGUCAGCGGAAUUAGCUUUGCCGACUCACCGAAUCACCUUGCCUCUGCGUGACUUAGGGAAAAUUUAGGAGGCUGGCCUUCUCCGACCCCGUUCGUGAGGUGACGAGAAGGCGAGACACUGAUUGCGAACUACGCUCGUAGACGCCACCUCGUUGCGAUCUCGGACGGGGGUUCGAUUCCCCCCGUCUCCACUG
rnacentral:tmRNA from 1 species